rnacentral:rRNA from 1 species
AUUGAACGCUGGCGGCAUGCCUUACACAGGCAAGUCGAACGGCAGCAUGGAGAGCUUGCUCUCUGAUGGCGAGUGGCGAACGGGUGAGUAAUGCAUCGGAACGUACCGUGUAAUGGGGGAUAACGUAGCGAAAGUCACGCUAAUACCGCAUACGACCUGAGGGUGAAAGCAGGGGAUCGCAAGACCUUGCGUUAUACGAGCGGCCGAUGUCAGAUUAGCUAGCUGGUGAGGUAAAGGCUCACCAAGGCGACGAUCUGUAGCGGGUCUGAGAGGAUGAUCCGCCGCACUGGGACUUAGACACGGCCCAUUCUCCUACGGGAGGCAGCAGUGGGGAAUUGUUGACAAUGGGGGCAACCCUGAGCCAGCCAUGCCGCGUGAGUGAAGAAGGCCUUCGGGUUGUAACGCUCUUUCGGCCGGGAAGAAAUCGCACAGGCUAAUACUCUGUGUGGAUGACGGUACCGGCAUAAGAAGCACCGGCUAACUACGUGCCAGCAGCCGCGGUAA